CCAAUAGCGUAUAUUAAAGUUGUUGUGGUUAAAAAGCUCGUAGUUGAACCUUGGGCCUGGCUGGCCGGUCCGCCUCACCGCGUGUACUGGUCCGGCCGGGCCUUUCCCUCUGUGGAACCCCAUGCCCUUCACUGGGUGUGGCGGGGAAACAGGACUUUUACUGUGAAAAAAUUAGAGUGCUCCAGGCAGGCCUAUGCUCGAAUACAUUAGCAUGGAAUAAUAGAAUAGGACGUGUGGUUCUAUUUUGUUGGUUUCUAGGACCGCCGUAAUGAUUAAUAGGGACAGUCGGGGGCAUCAGUAUUCAAUUGUCAGAGGUGAAAUUCUUGGAUUUAUUGAAGACUAACUACUGCGAAAGCAUUUGCCAAGGAUGUUUUCAUUAAUCAGGAACGAAAGUUAGGGGAUCGAAGACGAUCAGAUACCGUCGUAGUCUUAACCAUAAACUAUGCCGACUAGGGAUCAGACGGUGUUAUUUUUUGACCCGUUCGGCACCUUACG
rnacentral:misc_RNA from 1 species